rnacentral:rRNA from 1 species
GAUGAACGCUGGCGGCGUGCUUAACACAUGCAAGUCGAACGAAGCACUUUAACCUGAUUCUUCGGAUGAAGGUUUUUGUGACUGAGUGGCGGACGGGUGAGUAACGCGUGGGUAACCUGCCUCAUACAGGGGGAUAACAGUUAGAAAUGACUGCUAAUACCGCAUAAGACCACAGAGCCGCAUGGCUCGGUGGGAAAAACUCCGGUGGUAUGAGAUGGACCCGCGUCUGAUUAGGUAGUUGGUGGGGUAACGGCAUACCAAGCCAACGAUCAGUAGCCGACAUGAGAGGGUGACCGGCCACAUUGGGACUGAGACACGGCCCAAACUCCUACGGGAGGCAGCAGUGGGGGAUAUUGCACAAUGGGGGAAACGCUGAUGCAGCGACGCCGCGUGAGCGAAGAAGUAUUUCGGUAUGUAAAGCUCUAUCAGCAGGGAAGAAAAUGACGGUACCUGACUAAGAAGCACCGGCUAAAUACGUG